ACAACGAGAAGCGCAAAGAGAAAGACAUCUGAUACGGACAAUUCUUUUCAGAGACAACAGCAUUUUUCUGAGUCAGAUUAUACCAGGCGAACAACCUUCUCCAUGAAAAACUGGACAGAAUCAGUGAGCCACAACAUGAUAUCAGCCAAUGACUCUGAGGAGGAGCUGCUGCACCAGUGGCCGUUGACUUAUACAGCACCGGCCCUUGAAGAGUUUGACGUGCCUCUAGACUCUGAGGCGAAGCUGUGGGACCAGCAGGCGUCCACCUCCAGUGCACCGGCCCUUGAAGAUUUUGACUUGUCUCUCGACUUUGAGGACGAGGACCUGUGUGAUGAGUGGGGGCUCCUCUUAAUACCACCGGAUCUUCAACAGGUAGACUCUUGGAAAAAUCUCCCAGUCAAAACAAAAAAAUCUUUCUGGAAGAGAAUAUCUGACUUUUUCCAACGGUUGAUGAAGUUUAAGAAAUAAGAUGCAAGCUGUCACAUUUGCUCAUCAAAACAUGAGCUUGAGUUGAUCAACCAUCAAACUGAAGACCUCUCUACUGUGGACAGCCAGUAGAUACCACAUGUCACCUGUGGUCGGGCAUGAGGGGGGCAGUACAUCACCAUUACCUCCCCCAGAAGAACACAUAUAACUUGCAGACAUUGCACAGGGAGCUAAUCAGAAAUGUUCCCCCCACUGUGUCAGUAGCUCUGAGCUGUAUGUGUGCCGUCUGUGUGGAGUCAACAUGUCCUCCCCAGGUCUCUGUGGGUCUCCUCCGGGUGCUCCGGUUUCCCCACAAUUUUUAAAAUAAUCAUUGAAAUUUGGAUUUGAAUUUUAAGAAAUAAAGAAAUAAAAUUCUUGUGCAAAU